rnacentral:rRNA from 1 species
UGGGGAAUAUUGCACAAUGGGCGAAAGCCUGAUGCAGCAACGCCGCGUGAGUGAAGAAGGCCUUCGGGUUGUAAAGCUCUGUCUUUUGGGACGAUAAUGACGGUACCAAAGGAGGAAGCCACGGCUAACUACGUGCCAGCAGCCGCGGUAAUACGUAGGUGGCAAGCGUUGUCCGGAUUUACUGGGCGUAAAGGAUGCGUAGGUGGAUAUUUAAGUGGGAUGUGAAAUACCCGGGCUCAACUUGGGUGCUGCAUUCCAAACUGGAUAUCUAGAGUGCAGGAGAGGAAAGUGGAAUUCCUAGUGUAGCAGUGAAAUGCGUAGAUAUUAGGAGGAACACCAGUGGCGAAGGCGGCUUUCUGGACUGUAACUGACACUGAGGCAUGAAAGCGUGGGGAGCAAACA